GGGCAAUUGGCAGAGUGGUUUAUAGCGCUUGUCUUGAAAACGAGUAUUUUAAUUAAUCGUUGGUUCGAAUCCAACAUUGCCCG